rnacentral:lncRNA from 1 species
AAAAUAUUACCGGACUCGGAUAUCUUAUAUUACCGAUGGCAUGUAAUUUUACAUGUUAUGUAAAACUCUUACUAUCAAAAUUAUUAUAUUUUUUACCAUCAGAAUUACUGAAUUUUAUAAAUUGAAUCACACAUAGUAAUUCUAUAUAUACUGUAAUCAACAUUAUAAUAUUAUUAUAUUAAAUUAAAUGCGGUAAUACAAUAUCAAUA